GUAGGUUGCUGCUGGCCACUUCGGGGGCAAAUGUGCACGCCUAUCUCGGGUCUUCCCCCACUUCCUUCAUCCUCCUGUGCAUUUUCUGUGGUCUUUGCCCUUUGGGUAUUCCAAGGGGUCGAGUCAUGUCUCACUAUUACACAAGUGUUAAUGGAGUGUGUCUAUGCAUUAUUAAUACAACUUUCAGCAACGGAUCUCUUGGCUCUCGCAUCGAUGAAGAACGCAGCGAAAUGCGAUAAGUAAUGUGAAUUGCAGAAUUCAGUGAAUCAUCGAAUUUUUGAACGCACCUUGCACUCCUUGGUAUUCCGGGGAGUAUGCCUGUUUGAGUGUCAGUUGAUUAUUAGCUCUGCCAGUGGUUUGUCCCUGGCAGAUGUCUGAAGUGGAGUGUGUGCUGGCUCUUCAGUGGGUUUGGCUACUCUGAAAUGCAUUGGUGGGAGCUAUUUAUUUAUUUGCUUGCCAAAUGGGUGUGAUAAUAUCUGCAUCCAGUGAGCUUGCUGGUAAUCUCCUGCCCAGCAGCAGCAGCUGUUUGUGUGACCGCAAGGCACCUUAAUUGACUCACGGCCUCAAAUCAGGUGGGAGUACCCGCUGAACUUAAGCCUAUCAAU
rnacentral:rRNA from 1 species